UGGUAAGCUACUAAGGGCUUACGGUGGAUGCCUAGGCGCCAGGUGCCGAAGAAGGACGUGGGACGCUGCGAAAAGCCUCGGGGAGCCGCGUACAGGUGACGAUCCGGGGAUGUCCGAAUGGGGAAACCCGCUCGAGCGAACCUCGAGCAUCCCUUGCUGAACCCAUAGGCAAGGGAGGGGAACCUGGGGAACUGAAACAUCUAAGUACCCAGAGGAAAAGAAAGGAUUCCGCGAGUAGUGGCGAGCGAAAGCGGAGUAGCCCAAACCGCUGUCUACGGGCAGCGGGGUUGUAGGGCCUGACGAAUGGAGUAAGAAACCUGUCUGCUAGCAGAAUGGUGUGGGAAAGCCAACCAGAGAGGGUGAUAGUCCCGUAUGCGAAAGUGGAUGGGCUCCAGUCGGGUACCUGAGUAGCACCGGGCACGCUAAUCCGGUGUGAAGCUGGGGAGACCACUCUCCAAGGCUAAAUACAUCUGGCGACCGAUAGUGAACAAGUACCGUGAGGGAAAGGUGAAAAGCACCCCUGUGAGGGGAGUGAAAUAGAACCUGAAACCGUGAGCCUACAAGCAGUCGGAGGGCUAAUGGCGUGACUGUGCGCCGGUGAAAGCCGGAUGUGCGGCGCUAAGCCUGACGGCGUGCCUUUUGGAGAAUGAGCCUGCGAGUUAAUCUCAGUGGCGAGGUUAAGGGAGCGACACCCGAAGCCGAAGCGAAAGCGAGUCUGAAUAGGGCGUAGAGUCGCUGGGAUUAGACACGAAACCGGGUGAGCUACGCAUGGGCAGGGUGAAGCGGGUGUAAAAGCCCGUGGAGGCCCGAACCCACUAACGUUGCAAAGUUAGGGGAUGACCUGUGUGUAGAGGUGAUAUGCCAAACGAACUCGGAGAUAGCUUGUUCUCCCCGAAAUAGCUUUAGGGCUAGCGUCAUGUGUUUAGUACCGGAGGUAGAGCACUGGAUGGGCUAGGGGGCGUAUGGCCUACCGAACCUAACCAAACUCCGAAUGCCGGUACUUGAGAGCAUGGCAGUUGGACCACGGGAGAUGAGUUUCGUGGUCGAGAGGGAAAGAACCCAGACCAUCGGCUAAGGUCCCCAAAUCCAGGCUAAGUGGGAAACGAGGUGAGACUACAGAGACAACCAGGAGGUUGGCUUAGAAGCAGCCACCCUUUAAAGAGUGCGUAAUAGCUCACUGGUCAAGUGGUCUUGCGCGGAAAAUGUAACGGGGCUAAGUCUGGUACCGAAGCCAUGGGUGUCAACGGAAGUUGGCGCAGUAGGGGAGCGUUCUGCAGACGGGGAAGGCGUACCGCGAGGAGCGCUGGAGUGUGCAGAAGUGAGAAUGCAGGCAUGAGUAGCGAGAAACACGUGAGAACCGUGUUCGCCGAAAGUCUAAGGUUUCCGACGGCAGGUCAAUCCGCGUCGGGUUAGUCGGGCCUAAGCCGAGGCCGAGAGGCGUAGGCGAUGGACAUCCGGUCAACAUUCCGGAACUACGAUGGUGGAGCGAAGGGGGGACGCGGCGAGGUAAGCCAGCCUGUGAAUGGAUUCAGGUGUAAGUGUGUAGGCGAAGAAGUCCGUAGGGAAAUCCGCGGACAGAGCCGAGGCACGAAAGCGAGCCCCAGAGGCGGAAGUGGCUGAGCCUUGCCGCCGAGAAAAGCCUCUAAGCGAUGAAGCCAUCGUACCCGUACCGCAAACCGACACAGGUAGACGGGUAGAGAAUACCAAGGCGAACGGGAGAACCCUCGUUAAGGAACUAGGCAAAUUGGCCCCGUAACUUCGGGAGAAGGGGUGCCACCUGACGUGAAAGGUAAACAUCUGGAGCGUCGGGGGGUCGCAGUGAAAUGGUCCUGAUGACUGGUUACCAAAACCACAGGUCUCUGCAAAGUCGUAAGACGCAGUAUAGGGGCUGACGCCUGCCCAGUGCCGGAAGGUUAAGGGGAGAGGUUAGCGCGAGCGAAGCUUCGAACCGAAGCCCCGGUGAACGGCGGCCGUAACUAUAACGGUCCUAAGGUAGCGAAAUUCCUUGUCGGGUAAGUUCCGACCCGCACGAACGGCGUAACAAUCAGGACACUGUCUCAACGAGGGACCCGGUGAAAUUGAAAUACGAGUAAAGAUGCUCGUUACCCGCAGCAGGACAAAAAGACCCCGUGGAGCUUUACUGUAGCUUGGCAUUGAGUUUGGGUGUAGUCUGUGUAGGAUAGGUGGGAGGCAGAGAAGCUGGGGCGCCAGCCUCGGUGGAGCCGCCGGUGAAAUACCACCCUGAUUACAUCUAGGCUCUAACCCUGCGCCGUGAAACCGGGCAGGGGACCGUGCCAGGUGGGCAGUUUGACUGGGGCGGUCGCCUCCUAAAGAGUAACGGAGGCGCCCAAAGGUUCCCUCAGGCUGAAUGGAAACCAGCCGAAGAGUGUAAAGGCAUAAGGGAGCUUGACUGCGAGGCCUACGCGCCGAGCAGAGACGAAAGUCGGGCUUAGUGAUCCCACGGUACCGAGUGGAAGGGCCGUGGCUCAACGGAUAAAAGCUACCCCGGGGAUAACAGGCUAGUCUCCCCCAAGAGUUCACAUCGACGGGGAGGCUCGGCACCUCGAUGUCGGCUCAUCGCAUCCUGGGGCUGGACAAGGUCCCAAGGGUCGGGCUGUUCGCCCGUUAAAGCGGUACGCGAGCUGGGUUCAGACCGUCGUGAGACAGGUCGGUCUCUAUCCGCUGUGGGCGCAGGGGACUUGAGAGGAGCUGCUCCUAGUACGAGAGGACCGGAGUGGACAGACCUCUGGUGUGCCAGUUGUCGUGCCAACGGCAUAGCUGGGUAGCCACGUCUGGCAGGGAUAACCGCUGAAAGCAUCUAAGCGGGAAGCUCGCCUCAAGAUAAGGUCCCCCAUCCCGUGAAGGGAGUAAGGCCGCAGGAAGACUACCUGCAGAUAGGCGGCAAGUGUAAGCGUUGAAAGGCGUUGAGCUAAGCCGUACUAAUGGCCGAGGGCUUACCG
rnacentral:rRNA from 1 species